UACGUAGGCAGCAAGCGUUGUUCGGAAUUACUGGGCGUAAAGAGUGUGUAGGUGGUGUCGUAAGUUUGGUGUGAAAUCUCCCGGCUUAACUGGGAGGGUGCGCCGAAGACUGCGAUGCUGGAGUAUCGGAGAGGUGGGUGGAAUUCUCGGUGUAGAGGUGAAAUUCGUAGAUAUCGAGAGGAACACCGGCGGCGAAGGCGGCCCACUGGACGAAUACUGACGCUGAGACACGAAAGCGUGGGGAGCAAACAGG
rnacentral:rRNA from 1 species